AUGUAUUCAUAUUUCUAGGGGGUGUCAUAUCCAAACCACUGUUCAUCCAAAUUUCCUGUAUGAUCUGCUCCCUGCGCUCAAUCCUUUCGGCCAGUUCCGCUGCCUCUGCUGAGUUAUAACCUGAGUAAGAAGAACUUCUCUUUCUGUGUGGGCUCAAAGUCAGAGCUGUUUCCUUUCCUGAUGAAGGAAUCCUUUUGGGUGUCCUAGCUCCUGUUUGCAGUGGAAGGCCAACAGAUACAUGGGUUCAUACUAAGGGUGCAGGAAGAGACUCGUCAAGCUCCAAACAGGUGCCCAAUAUAAGGUCUCGAUAUUCCGUUCAGGACGUCUUGGAAAAAAUAAGCACAUCGAAAUAGCUCUACAUCCAUUCCGUCUCAAAUCAGGAGAGAUGAAAUGCUGUUUUCAAGUCUUGUUUCUUGGCCCUGGGUUGCUGAGAUGAGUCGACUGGAUAUCCAAGUUCAGUUCAAGUCAGGACACUGUCGCAGUCUACGCGUGCCUCAGCUGCCUCUGCACACUCAUCAAUCACGGGCAGGACUGGCACUGCUCGGUGACAGCACUGUGCGAGGCAGGGACAAUGGGAGAACAAAAAGCCAGGACGGGGUCCCCAUCCCAAGCCAGACAGUGCCCUCAGCUGUAUUUGCACUGCUCCACCAAGGUUGUGACUUCUGCAGAAGCACCUGCCAUGCUGUGCACACAUAAAUAGGCCAAAAACCUGUGGUCUGUGCCCAAUGACUGACAGUGUACAGCUGGACUCUGAAUAUGCCUAGCGGUGCUGGAGAGGCUGUGGAAGUACCUAUAACCCCAAGUGGUACCAGGUAAGGAGAAGAGCCUAACAUAAA